GGGCUUGUGGUUUAGUGGUAUAAUACUCCCUUAGCAUCUGCACGGUUUCUUUCACGAAUGCCUCACGAGAUUGGGAGUGGUCCGGGGUUCGAUUCCCCGCGAGUCCA